GAUAGGUUUUUUUUAGUCUUCUAAACUAAUUUUGGGUUUUCUCGUCUAUUU
rnacentral:tRNA from 2 species